GCCCGGUUAGCUCAAUCGGUAGAGCGUGAGACUCUUACGAGUUCACACAUCUCAUAAUCUCAAGGUUGCGGGUUCGACCCCCGCAUCGGGCU
rnacentral:tRNA from 1 species